AUUGAACGCUGGCGGCAUGCUUUACACAUGCAAGUCGAACGGCAGCGCGGGCUUCGGCCUGGCGGCGAGUGGCGAACGGGUGAGUAAUACAUCGGAACGUGCCCAGUAGUGGGGGAUAGCUCGGCGAAAGCCGGAUUAGUACCGCAUACGACCUGAGGGUGAAAGCGGGGGAUCUUCGGACCUCGCGCUAUUGGAGCGGCCGAUGGCAGAUAGCUAGUUGGUGGGGUAAAGGCCUACCAAGGCGACGAUCUGUAGCUGGUCUGAGAGGACGACCAGCCACACUGGGACUGAGACACGGCCCAGACUCCUACGGGAGGCAGCAGUGGGGAAUUUUGGACAAUGGGCGAAAGCCUGAUCCAGCAAUGCCGCGUGUGUGAUGAAGGCCUUCGGGUUGUAAAGCACUUUUGGCGGGAACGAAAAGGACUGUGCCAAUACCACGGUUCGAUGACGGUACCCGCAGAAUAAGCACCGGCUAACUACGUG
rnacentral:rRNA from 1 species